CAUGGUAGAGACGCGGCGUACGGCUCAGUAACAUGUGGCUAACCUACCCUUAGGACGGAGGCAACCCCGGGAAACUGGGGCUAAUACCCGGUAGAUUAGGAGGCCUGGAAUGGUUUCUAGUCGAAAAGGCGUUGAAACCAUGCUUUUCGACGUCGCCUAAGGAUGGGGCCGCACCUGAUCAGGUUGUUGGUGGGGUAACGGCUCACCAAGCCUAUAACCGGUACGGGCCGUGAGAGCGGGAGCCCGGAGAUGGGCACUGAGACAAGGGCCCAGGCCCUACGGGGCGCAGCAGUCGCGAAAACUCCGCAAUGCGCGAAAGCGUGACGGGGCUACCCCGAGUGCCGUCCGCUGAGGAUGGCUUUUCCCCGGUGUAAUGAGCCGAGGGAAUAAGGAGAGGGCAAGACUGGUGUCAGCCGCCGCGGUAAUACCAGCUCUC
rnacentral:rRNA from 1 species